AGCUUUGCACAGUGGCAGUAUGAUAGCCAAUGAGGUUUAUCUGAUGCAUGAUUAUUGGUAAUUGAAAACUUUCCCCAAUACCCUGCCAUGAUGACUGGAAAUACAGUUGGCAUUUGCAAUUUUUGGCAGUCUCUACCGGGA
ensembl:snRNA U4 U4 spliceosomal RNA